GAUGAACGCUGGCGGCGUGCCUAAUACAUGCAAGUCGAGCGAACAGACGAGGAGCUUGCUCCUCUGACGUUAGCGGCGGACGGGUGAGUAACACGUGGAUAACCUACCUAUAAGACUGGGAUAACUUCGGGAAACCGGAGCUAAUACCGGAUAAUAUAUUGAACCGCAUGGUUCAAUAGUGAAAGACGGUUUUGCUGUCACUUAUAGAUGGAUCCGCGCCGCAUUAGCUAGUUGGUAAGGUAACGGCUUACCAAGGCAACGAUGCGUAGCCGACCUGAGCGGGUGAUCGGCCACACUGGAACUGAGACACGGUCCAGACUCCUACGGGAGGCAGCAGUAGGGAAUCGUCCGAAAUGGGCGAAAGCCUGACGGAGCAACGCCGCGUGAGUGAUGAAGGUCUUCGGAUCGUAAAACUCUGUUAUUAGGGAAGAACAAAUGUGUAAGUAACUAUGCACGUCUUGACGGUACCUAAUCAGAAAGCCACGGCUAACUACGUG
rnacentral:rRNA from 1 species